rnacentral:rRNA from 1 species
GCUCAGAAUGAACGCUAGCGGCGUGCCUAACACAUGCAAGUCGAGCGAGAAAGGGACUUCGGUCCUGAGUAAAGCGGCGAACGGGUGAGUAAUGCGUAGGUAACCUGCCUCGAGGAAGGGGAUAACCCUUUGAAAAAAGGGCUAAUACCCUAUGUGGUUAAUAAGGGUGGGCCUUAUUAAUCAAAGAUGGCUCUGAAAAAUGAGCUAUCGCCUCGAGAUGGGCCUGCGUCCUAUCAGCUUGUUGGUGGGGUAAUGGCCCACCAAGGCUAUGACGGGUAGCUGGUUUGAGAGGACGGUCAGCCACACUGGCACUGAGACACGGGCCAGACUCCUACGGGAGGCAGCAGUGGGGAAUAUUGCGCAAUGGGGGAAACCCUGACGCAGCGACGCCGCGUGAGUGAGGAAGGCCGAAAGGCUGUAAAACUCUGUCAGGCGGGAAGAAUGGGGAGGGAACGAAUAAUUCCUUCCCUUUGACGGUACCGCUUGAGGAAGCACCGGCCAACUCCGUGCCAGCAGCCGCGGUAAAACGGAGGGUGCGAGCGUUAUUCGGAAUUACUGGGCGUAAAGGGCGCGUAGGCGGUCACUCAAGUCCAAUGUGAAAGACCACAGCUUAACUGUGGAACUGCAUUGGAAACUGGGUGGAUAGAGUGCGGGAGAGGAGGGUGGAAUUCUCGGUGUAGGGGUGAAAUCCGCAGAUAUCGGGAGGAACACCGGUGGCGAAGGCGGCCCUCUGGACCGCAACUGACGCUGAGGCGCGAAAGCGUGGGGAGCAAACAGGAUUAGAGACCCUGGUAGUCCACGCCCUAAACGAUGGGCACUAGGUGUGGGGAACAUAAAGUUUUCCGUGCCGAAGCUAACGCGUUAAGUGCCCCGCCUGGGGAUUACGGCCGCAAGGCUAAAACUCAAAGGAAUUGACGGGGGCCCGCACAAGCGGUGGAGCAUGUGGUUCAAUUCGACGCAACGCGAAGAACCUUACCUGGGUUUGACAUGCUGGUAGUACUGAGCCGAAAGGCAAGGGAUCUGGUUUUCCAGAAGCCAGCACAGGUGCUGCAUGGCUGUCGUCAGCUCGUGUCGUGAGAUGUUGGGUUAAGUCCCGCAACGAGCGCAACCCUUGCUCUUAGUUGCCAGCGGGUCAGGCCGGGCACUCUAAGAGGACUGCCGUCGAAGAGACGGAGGAAGGUGGGGACGACGUCAAGUCAUCAUGGCCUUUAUGCCCAGGGCUACACACGUGCUACAAUGGCCGGUACAAAGGGAAGCGAAUCCGCGAGGAGGAGCUAAUCCCAAAAAGCCGGUCUCAGUUCGGAUUGCAGUCUGCAACUCGACUGCAUGAAGGAGGAAUCGCUAGUAAUCGUACAUCAGCAUGGUACGGUGAAUACGUUCCCGGGCCUUGUACACACCGCCCGUCACACCACGAAAGUCGGUUGUACCAGAAGUCGCUGGUCCAACCUCUUUACGAGGAGGAAGGCGCCGAAGGUAUGGCUGGUAAUUGGGGUGAAGUCGUAACAAGGUA